GCGUCAGUCUAGGUUAGUUCCAUUCAAAUCAUGCAAGUUAGGGUCCAAAACAAGGGCAAAAGUGUUUGGAAAAGUAGAUACGACGGAGACGUAUCAACCAUCGCCUCCCCUAGCUUUCUCGCAAGGCAUCGUGGUCUCGAUGGGUUGGGGCUCGCCUCCCGCACUCCUCUUUGUCGUGUACAACAACCAUGGUGACCCCUAGGUGUCGAAUUAUUGAGGGAGGCUUUAGAUCGUCCUGGGCAUGGAGAUGAGGCUGGCCAUUAAGGAUCUGGGUGAAGGUCACGUCGUCUCUUCUCCUGGCUCCAAUAUCCACUACUUCCACUGCUGAUAUUUUGUGUUCUUUGAUGUGAGAAAGAACCAUAGGAACUAAGAAAGAUGCGGUGUACAAAAUCUUGCAAAAAUGGAGGAUAUGGAUUUGGUGCGCGAACUUUCCCGACAACAGCGGUGCUGCCUACCAACACCAUGUGCAAGACCGCCUGACUUGACCUCUAUCUUAAUGUUGUCAGCAAGAAGUUGCUCCAAAUUCCAUCGCCCAACAAUAUCAUCAGUUGUAAGCAAGAAGUUAGGUGUUUGGUAUGUACCCCAGUGCAAGAGACCAUGGAUGCAAAAGUCAGAUAAUUAGGAACUUGAACUACAAGGGCAAAUGAGAGGCACCUUUGAUCGACAUUCAGCCCAGGGAACCUCAACUUUCAAACUGUUGUACAUUCAUACUACUGUCCGUGUAUCACUUCUGCUUAACUAUAAUACACGAAAACAUGAAAGCUCAUAUUUUCCCCUUGUUUGUGUAGAGUACAAGGAUGAUUCCUACAUCUAUGCAUUGAUAUGCUGAAGCACAUUAGAAUUGAGCCAAGGCAGAUGUCUGAUGUAGACAACUAAGGCAAUGGCUAUUGCAUUGUAGGAUGAAAACGUCCAACGUGGUGGCGGCGGGUACAUGCCCAACGCGGCGACCCGUGGGCGCACCGGUUCUAGGGGCUUGAGAGCUGGGGCCGGCAUCGAAGCGGUGAAGAUGGAUGGUGGCGUGUGGAAGUGGGCGGUGGUGGGCAGGGAACAACGUGGCCCUGUCAUCGUCCUCUCCGUUCAGCUUGACAUGAUCGUCGUUCAGCUGAAAACAAGAUUACCUGAGGGAGAUUAAGACUAGAACAUGAGUGCACAAUACUUCUCCGAUGUGAUUUUUUGUAAAUGUAAUUAACUUUGUAGAGUUGGCAUGACAUGCGCCUUCACUAGCGUUAAUAAUAGACCCUGCCUCCUUCCCAAAUUCCUGACCAAUCAUUGUUUUGUAAGGAUCCUUCUCAACCUUUGUUAGUUGUUCAUCUAUGAUUGAAUUUAACCAUGUGGUCUAACUGAUUGGUCAUAUGAACUUAUGAAGUAGUUGUUGUGUG